GGGGGCGAUCGGGUUCGACGGGGGUUGGAAAGUCAGGGCUGCGUGCACGAGUCCCGGAGUCGCUCGCUAAAAAUGCUCCGGCUGCGAAAUUUAAACGCAGACGAAAACUACGCACUCGCGGCCUGAGGGCCGUGACGUCUCACCGGUUCGAGCCCGUAGGGCCGGCUGAGGCGCCGCAAAUCGGGAUAAGCUGCGGCGGGCGCUCUCACCGCCGCGGACGAAAAAUCAGAUGAGCUGGCCUCCGAAGAGCCUGUCCGCGGGCGACGAGGAGGCGAGAUCAAAUCACGGACUAGGCAACGUAGACGCUCUAGACGGACCGCUCUCGGACGGGGGUUCAAUUCCCCCCGCCUCCAU
rnacentral:tmRNA from 1 species